rnacentral:rRNA from 1 species
GUCUUACCUGCUCAUGAUUAAAUUUAAAUGGCCGCGGUAUUAUGACCGUGCAAAGGUAGCAUAAUCAUUAGUUUCUUAAUUGGAGACUGGAAUGAAUGGUUUGACGAGAAAUUGACUGUCUCUUAAUAAUUUUUAGAAUUUAACUUUUAAGUUAAAAGGCUUAAAUAUUUCUUUUGGACGAGAAGACCCUAUAGAGCUUUACAUUAAUAAAUUAAUUUUUAUUAUAUAGAUAAUUUCUUAAUAUUAAUUUAUUUUGUUUGGUUGGGGUGACUUGAAGAAUAAAUAAACUCUUCAUUAUUAAAUCAUUGAUUUAUGUUUAUUUGAUCCAAAAUUUUUGAUUAUAAGAUUAAGUUACCUUAGGGAUAACAGCGUAAUCAUUUUUGAGAGUUCUUAUCGAUAAAUUGGAUUGCGACCUCGAUGUUGGAUUAAGAUUAAUUACGGGUGUAGUGGCUUGAUAAUUAGGUCUGUUCGACCUUUAAAUUCUUACGUGAUCUGAUUCCAAGACCGGA